UCUGCAUGAUGCCUGACUGUGAGUCUGUGUAUUUGUUCUCAUCUGCUGCAGGAGGAAGCUUUUGUGAUAAUGGCUGAGUAAGACACUGAUCUGAGUAUAUGUUCUUCUGAAAAAUCCAUUCAGACUCUGUUCUGUACCAAAGGAAGAGAAUAAUGAAAAUCAAUGGCAAAUAGAAGUCGCCACAAAGCAAUCCCAGGAGCCAGCUUCAUGUUGAGGAGAGAACUCUGCACUACCUCAAGUCUCCCUUUACACACUCAGAGAGAAACGUGUCCAAUAACAAACAUUGACACUUUCUCUGAAAAGUAUAGUCAUAAAGAUCUAAAACACAACAACAAUAGAGAAAAAUAACAGAUACUAAUGCUCAGUCAUUACUCUCACUGGGUCGACUGGUCUCCCCACUUUCUAUUUUCAUGUCACAAGUACCCUACUAUGCUCUCUUUUUCUCAUCUAUUAAGGUUUCUUCCUCUCUGGUAUUAGUUUUUGUCUUGUUGCUGUGACAAAAUACUCCACAAAAGCGACUUUAAAAGGUAAGCAUUUGUUUGAGCUUAUGUUCCAGGGGAUAUGGUUCAUCAUGGCUGGGACAGGAGAUGGUCACAAGGCAUCCACUGUGAGGAAGCUGAGUAAGGAAUGCUACCGCCCAGCUCCUUUCUCCU
ensembl:lincRNA Gm12753 predicted gene 12753